GAAACAGAAUGGAGAAAUAUCUAAGAUGUUUAUUACCUUGUUUUCGUUAUACCAUGAGUAUAAUGCUGCUAAAAGGUAAGAUGAUUUGAUAUUUAUAAAUUAAUUAUAAUCAAACACUUUUUGUUACGUGUUGCUAUCAUUAUUGAUUAAUAACAUCGUAUUUUCUGUAAGCUUAAAAAUCUAGUUUCGUUUUGAAUUAGAUUAAAAAUAAAGACUACAAAUUAUCUGCUUUUUGCAAAGCUUUUUGCUUAAUAGUUGCGCCGUUUGAUUUAACAAUUGUCGCUUUUAUAAAUAGUUUGAAAUUCAAAAUGGAGCAUAUGUUUCAUAAUUAUUUUGCUGAACUUU